rnacentral:rRNA from 1 species
AGUGAACGCUGGCGGUAGGCCUAACACAUGCAAGUCGAACGGCAGCACAGUAAGAGCUUGCUCUUACGGGUGGCGAGUGGCGGACGGGUGAGGAAUACAUCGGAAUCUACUUUUUCGUGGGGGAUAACGUAGGGAAACUUACGCUAAUACCGCAUACGACCUACGGGUGAAAGCAGGGGAUCUUCGGACCUUGCGCGAUUGAAUGAGCCGAUGUCGGAUUAGCUAGUUGGCGGGGUAAAGGCCCACCAAGGCGACGAUUCGUAGCUGGUCUGAGAGGAUGAUCAGCCACACUGGAACUGAGACACGGUCCAGACUCCUACGGGAGGCAGCAGUGGGGAAUAUUGGACAAUGGGCGCAAGCCUGAUCCAGCCAUACCGCGUGGGUGAAGAAGGCCUUCGGGUUGUAAAGCCCUUUUGUUGGGAAAGAAAAGCAGCAGGUUAAUACCCCGCUGUUCUGACGGUACCCAAAGACUAAGCACCGGCUAACUUCGUG